CAGGGAGACCGAAAAGAAGUGGGGAAAAAGAAAGGAAACUCUUCUUUCCACCAGGUGGUCGCGCCUUCGUUCAAAGACUGGUGCAUUAUGGGACUGAGAGGUGUGGCCACAGGACGAAGAGAGACACUAAUUUAAAAUAUCACCCAGUCAAAGUAAAGUGAUGAUGAAGAAACCCAGCUAUGGACUGCAGUCGCAGUGCCCUGAAAAGGAACAUUCAGGAUUUCCCAGGUAUCGAUGUCGAGCUGUAAAAGGGCGAAGAAAUAAAAGGUGAAGGAAGAAGUAGAAAAAAUCAUCACAGAUCAGAAUCAUUAAUUAAAUAUUGGCACAGCG